UACGGAGGGUGCAAGCGUUAUCCGGAUUCACUGGGUUUAAAGGGUGCGUAGGUGGGUCUGUAAGUCAGUGGUGAAAUCUCCGGGCUUAACCCGGAAACUGCCAUUGAUACUAUAGGUCUUGAAUUAUCUGGAGGUAAGCGGAAUAUGUCAUGUAGCGGUGAAAUGCUUAGAUAUGACAUAGAACACCAAAUUGCGAAGGCAGCUUACUA
rnacentral:rRNA from 1 species